AGCUUGCCCGAUCCUACAGAGAUUUCAGGAAACAACUCUUUUUCAAAUUCUUCUUUAUAGCAAUUUUUGAUCUGGACGCUGGCUUGACGAAACCGAUAGAUUCAUUUUGUUUCGAUUAUAUUAAAGAAGAAAGACAAAAUGUCUUAAAAUGGAUUCUUUUCUAACCAUUCAAUAUAAUGGUUUUUUUUAUAUUUUAGAUAUAUAUAAAUUAAAUUGUACAAUAUUAUUUAAAAUAACUUGGUUUUAAUUAUAUUGUUUGAUAUUUGGUCUCCCAUUAUACAUUAAGACAUUUGGUCUAACUAGUGUUCACUCUUUUU